rnacentral:tRNA from 1 species
UAUUUUAAUAGCUUAUUAGAGCAUGAUGUUGAAGCUAUCAAGGAGGUCUGGUGGCCUUAAAAUAUU